rnacentral:rRNA from 1 species
AUUGAACGCUGGCGGCAUGCUUUACACAUGCAAGUCGAACGGUAACGCGGGGCAACCUGGCGACGAGUGGCGAACGGGUGAGUAAUGCAUCGGAACGUGCCCGGUAGUGGGGGAUAACUGCUCGAAAGAGCAGCUAAUACCGCAUACGACCUGAGGGUGAAAGGGGGGGAUCGCAAGACCUCUCGCUAUUGGAGCGGCCGAUGUCGGAUUAGCUAGUUGGUGGGGUAAGGGCCCACCAAGGCGACGAUCCGUAGCUGGUCUGAGAGGACGACCAGCCACACGGGGACUGAGACACGGCCCAGACUCCUACGGGAGGCAGCAGUGGGGAAUUUUGGACAAUGGACGCAAGUCUGAUCCAGCCAUGCCGCGUGCGGGAAGAAGGCCUUCGGGUUGUAAACCGCUUUUGUCAGAGAAGAAAUCUUCUGGGUUAAUACCUCGGGAGGAUGACGGUAUCUGAAGAAUAAGCACCGGCUAACUACGUGCCAGCCGCCGCGGUAAGAC